rnacentral:rRNA from 1 species
AUACGUAGGUGGCAAGCGUUGUCCGGAAUUAUUGGGCGUAAAGGAUGCGUAGGCGGCCUUUUAAGUGGGAUGUGAAAUCCCCGGGCUCAACCCGGGAACUGCAUUCCAAACUGGGUAUCUAGAGUGCAGGAGAGGAAAGCGGAAUUCCUAGUGUAGCGGUGAAAUGCGUAGAUAUUAGGAGGAACACCAGUGGCGAAGGCGGCUUUCUGGACUGUAACUGACACUGAGGCAUGAAAGCGUGGGUAGCAAACAGGAUUAGAUACCCUGGUAGUCCACGCCGUAAACGAUGGGUACUAGGUGUAGGAGGUAUCGACCCCUUCUGUGCCGUCGUUAACACAAUAAGUACCCCGCCUGGGGAGUACGGUCGCAAGACUAAAACUCAAAGGAAUUGACGGG